UGCAGUCGAGCGGUAAGGCCCUUCGGGGUACACGAGCGGCGAACGGGUGAGUAACACGUGGGUGAUCUGCCUCGUACUCUGGGAUAAGCCUGGGAAACUGGGUCUAAUACCGGAUAUGACCACGAGUCGCAUGGUUUGUGGUGGAAAGAUUUAUCGGUGCGAGAUGGGCCCGCGGCCUAUCAGCUUGUUGGUGGGGUAAUGGCCUACCAAGGCGACGACGGGUAGCCGGCCUGAGAGGGCGACCGGCCACACUGGGACUGAGACACGGCCCAGACUCCUACGGGAGGCAGCAGUGGGGAAUAUUGCACAAUGGGCGGAAGCCUGAUGCAGCGACGCCGCGUGCGGGAUGACGGCCUUCGGGUUGUAAACCGCUUUCGACAGGGACGAAGCGUGAGUGACGGUACCUGUAGAAGAAGCACCGGCCAACUACGUGCCAGCAGCCGCGGUAAUACGUAGGGUGCGAGCGUUGUCCGGAAUUACUGGGCGUAAAGAGCUUGUAGGCGGUUUGUCGCGUCGUUCGUGAAAACUUGGGGCUCAACCCCAAGCUUGCGGGCGAUACGGGCAGACUAGAGUACUGCAGGGGAGACUGGAAUUCCUGGUGUAGCGGUGAAAUGCGCAGAUAUCAGGAGGAACACCGGUGGCGAAGGCGGGUCUCUGGGCAGUAACUGACGCUGAGAAGCGAAAGCGUGGGUAGCGAACAGGAUUAGAUACCCUGGUAGUCCACGCCGUAAACGGUGGGUACUAGGUGUGGGUUUCCUUCCACGGGAUCCGUGCCGUAGCUAACGCAUUAAGUACCCCGCCUGGGGAGUACGG
rnacentral:rRNA from 1 species